rnacentral:rRNA from 20 species
ACGGGUGAGUAAUGCCUAGGAAUCUGCCUGGUAGUGGGGGAUAACGUUCGGAAACGAACGCUAAUACCGCAUACGUCCUACGGGAGAAAGCAGGGGACCUUCGGGCCUUGCGCUAUCAGAUGAGCCUAGGUCGGAUUAGCUAGUUGGUGAGGUAAUGGCUCACCAAGGCGACGAUCCGUAACUGGUCUGAGAGGAUGAUCAGUCACACUGGAACUGAGACACGGUCCAGACUCCUACGGGAGGCAGCAGUGGGGAAUAUUGGACAAUGGGCGAAAGCCUGAUCCAGCCAUGCCGCGUGUGUGAAGAAGGUCUUCGGAUUGUAAAGCACUUUAAGUUGGGAGGAAGGGCAGUUACCUAAUACGUAAUUGUUUUGACGUUACCGACAGAAUAAGCACCGGCUAACUCUGUGCCAGCAGCCGCGGUAAUACAGAGGGUGCAAGCGUUAAUCGGAAUUACUGGGCGUAAAGCGCGCGUAGGUGGUUCGUUAAGUUGGAUGUGAAAUCCCCGGGCUCAACCUGGGAACUGCAUUCAAAACUGUCGAGCUAGAGUAUGGUAGAGGGUGGUGGAAUUUCCUGUGUAGCGGUG